rnacentral:rRNA from 1 species
UGGGGAAUUUUGGACAAUGGGCGAAAGCCUGAUCCAGCAAUGCCGCGUGUGUGAAGAAGGCCUUCGGGUUGUAAAGCACUUUUGUCCGGAAAGAAAUCCUUGGCUCUAAUACAGUCGGGGGGAUGACGGUACCGGAAGAAUAAGCACCGGCUAACUACGUGCCAGCAGCCGCGGUAAUACGUAGGGUGCAAGCGUUAAUCGGAAUUACUGGGCGUAAAGCGUGCGCAGGCGGUUUGCUAAGACCGAUGUGAAAUCCCCGGGCUCAACCUGGGAACUGCAUUGGUGACUGGCAGGCUAGAGUAUGGCAGAGGGGGGUAGAAUUCCACGUGUAGCAGUGAAAUGCGUAGAGAUGUGGAGGAAUACCGAUGGCGAAGGCAGCCCCCUGGGCCAAUACUGACGCUCAUGCACGAAAGCGUGGGGAGCAAACAGGAUUAGAUACCCUGGUAGUCCACGCCCUAAAACGAUGUCAACUAGUUGUUGGGGGAUUCAUUUCCUUAGUAACGUAGCUAACGCGUGAAGUUGACCGCCUGGGGAGUACGGUCGCAAGAUUAAAACUCAAAUGAAUUGACGGGGUCAUAGCUG